UUUUAGCACCUAUAGUUUCGUGCAGGUAUUGGCGAUUAAAUAAUAUGCUUUACACUUUUAUUAGUGCUAAUGAAAGUUCUUUAGGAGGAGUAGAUGAUUUUCUUAGUUACAGAUUUGCUUUGAUUUAAUGCAGAAUAUUAUAUAUAAAUUUUGAUUUAGUGAAAAAUCAACGUGCUUAAAUCCACAUCUUCUUAUAUGAGUAAUGACAAAUUAAGACUGGAUCGAUAAAAUCACUUUUAAGUUUACAUCCGCUUAUGUAUAUUGGGGUUUUCCUACAUUGUUUUCUUUCUAAAAAGGUUUGUAGCUAUUUUAUUUAAAAAGAAAAUCAAAUAUAUCACUAGGCGG
rnacentral:lncRNA from 1 species